rnacentral:rRNA from 1 species
GACGAACGCUGGCGGCGUGCUUAACACAUGCAAGUCGAACGGUAAGGCCCUUCGGGGUACACGAGUGGCGAACGGGUGAGUAACACGUGGGUGAUCUGCCCUGCACUUCGGGAUAAGCCUGGGAAACUGGGUCUAAUACCGGAUAGGACUCCGGACUGCAUGGUCUGGGGUGGAAAGCUUUUGCGGUGUGGGAUGGGCCCGCGGCCUAUCGGCUUGUUGGUGGGGUGAUGGCCUACCAAGGCGACGACGGGUAGCCGGCCUGAGAGGGUGACCGGCCACACUGGGACUGGGAUACGGCCCAGACUCCUACGGGAGGCAGCAGUGGGGAAUAUUGCACAAUGGGCGCAAGCCUGAUGCAGCGACGCCGCGUGAGGGAUGACGGCCUUCGGGUUGUAAACCUCUUUCAGCAUCGACGAAGCGAAAGUGACGGUAGGUGCAGAAGAAGGACCGGCCAACUACGUGCCAGCCGCCGCGGUAA